GAUGAACGCUGGCGGCGUGCCUAAUACAUGCAAGUCGAACGAACAGACGAGGAGCUUGCUCCUCUGACGUUAGCGGCGGACGGGUGAGUAACACGUGGAUAACCUACCUAUAAGACUGGGAUAACUUCGGGAAACCGGAGCUAAUACCGGAUAAUAUAUUGAACCGCAUGGUUCAAUAGUGAAAGACGGUUUUGCUGUCACUUAUAGAUGGAUCCGCGCCGCAUUAGCUAGUUGGUAAGGUAACGGCUUACCAAGGCAGCGAUGCGUAGCCGACCUGAGAGGGUGAUCGGCCACACUGGAACUGAGACACGGUCCAGACUCCUACGGGAGGCAGCAGUAGGGAAUCUUCCGCAAUGGGCGAAAGCCUGACGGAGCAACGCCGCGUGAGUGAUGAAGGUCUUCGGAUCGUAAAACUCUGUUAUUAGGGAAGAACAAAUGUGUAAGUAACUAUGCACGUCUUGACGGUACCUAAUCAGAAAGCCACGGCUAACUACGUG
rnacentral:rRNA from 1 species